UAAUACGGAGGGUGCAAGCGUUAAUCGGAAUUACUGGGCGUAAAGCGCACGCAGGCGGUUUGUUAAGUCAGAUGUGAAAUCCCCGGGCUCAACCUGGGAACUGCAUUUGAAACUGGCAAGCUAGAGUCUCGUAGAGGGGGGUAGAAUUCCAGGUGUAGGCGGUGAAAUGCGUAGAGAUCUGGAGGAAUACCGGUGGCGAAGGCGGCCCCCUGGACGAAGACUGACGCUCAGGUGCGAAAGCGUGGGGAGCAAACAGGAUUAGAUACCCUGGUAGUCCACGCUGUAAACGAUGUCGAUUUGGAGGUUGUGCCCUUGAGGCGUGGCUUCCGGAGCUAACGCGUUAAAUCGACCGCCUGGGGAGUACGGCCGCAAGGUUA
rnacentral:rRNA from 1 species